GAUCAUUACAGUAUUCUUUUCGCCAGCGCUUAAUUGCGCGGCGAGAAAACCUUACACACAAUGUUUUUCUGUUCUAAGAAACUUGCUUUGGUCUGGACAAUUUAUUUGUCUGGGCCAGAGGUUUUAUAAACUAAACUUCAAUAUUUAUUGAAUUUUUACUUAACUAUAAUUUUGUCAAAUUGUUGAUUUAAAUAUCAAAAAAAUCUUCAAAACUUUCAACAACGGAUCUCUUGGUUCUCGCAUCGAUGAAGAACGCAGCGAAAUGCGAUAAGUAAUAUGAAUUGCAGAUUUUCGUGAAUCAUCGAAUCUUUGAACGCACAUUGCGCCCUUUGGUAUUCCAAAGGGCAUGCCUGUUUGAGCGUCAUUUCUCUCUCAAACCUUCGGGUUUGGUAUUGAGUGAUACUCUUAGUCAGACUGAGUGUUUGCUUGAAAUGUAUCGGCAUGAGAAGUACUGGAUAGUACUGUUAUGGCUUCUUCAAUGUAUUAGGUUUAUCCAACUCGUUGAAUGGUCUAGUAGUAAGUUUCCUGGUAUUUUUGGCUCGGCCUUACAACAUACAAAACAAAAGUUUGACCUCAAAUCAGGUAGGAUUACCCGCUGAACUUAAGCAUAUCA
rnacentral:misc_RNA from 1 species